rnacentral:rRNA from 1 species
ACACGUAGGGGCCUGACGUUGUUCGGAAUCAUUGGGCGUAAAGGGCGCGCAGGCGGCCGUCCAAGUCCGGUGUUAAAUGGUCGGGCUCAACCCGAUCAUGCGCUGGAAACUGGGCGGCUGGAGUCCCGGAGGGGAUGCCGGAAUUCCAGGUGUAGGGGUGAAAUCUGUAGAUAUCUGGAAGAACACCAAUGGCGAAGGCAGGCAUCUGGCCAUGUACGGACGCUGAGACGCGAAGGUGCGGGGAGCAAACAGGUUUAGAUACCCUGGUAGUCCGCACAGUAAACGAUGUGCACCAGGUGGCGGGGGGUCGACCCCCGGUACCGUAGCUAACGCAUUAAGUGCACCGCCUGGGGAGUAUGCUCGCAAGGGUGAAACUCAAAUGAAUUGACGGGG